UGAGUUGUCUGUUUGGAGACUGAAGUCUUCUGUUUAUCCACAGAAUAGGUGCAGUGCAGCAAUUUGCAGUGCACACCCACCACAAAGCACUUUGCCAGUGUGACUCAACCAGGGCUUGGAGAAAUGACUCCAGAUGUGAGAAGGUAGCUCAGUCUACUCGGCCUUUUUUUCUGAGUCUGCC
ensembl:misc_RNA